UGUUUUUAAGAAAAGGGUUCAGCAAUUCUUAAAAUACCUUUGGAAGAGGACAGGUUGCUUAUUUGCAAUAUGAGAACACAUUAAAACUUCAACAAGUUCAGGACUACACUGCUGUCCCAAUUACAAAGGGACUCUCUAGAAUAACUGUUGCCAGUGAGCUUUGUAUCUGAGUUUUUACUGGGUCAUGAGCAGUUUGAUUCUUGUUAAAUUCAGGGACAAGGUAGGAACUUCUCUUUUGAUUAUAGGUUUUCUAUGUCUAGUAUCUAGAAAUUACCCAGACAUAGCAGUGGAAAAUCAUCUUUUUAAGAAUCUCAGCUAGAGGAGGAGCUCUGCCUGCAGGUAGUGCAUAGGCUGCCUGCAGCACUCUGCAAUGCCCAAGACCAGGAGGAGCAAGGCCCAAGAUGGAUAGCAUUACAUUAAAUGCUGAGGUGUUUAGAGGUAAAGGAAAGAAGUCUGAAUUUGAUGUUUGAGGAGGCCAGUGGAGGAGUUAAUAUAAAAAAUAAACCGAGGGUCUUUUAACAGCAACAUUUAAAUAGAUCUGAAUAAAGAAAAAAUGUGCUGCCAGAAAAGCUAAGUGGGGUCAUCUGAGGCAGUCCCAAAAGCUUGUUCAGUGGAAGAUGGCUUAUGCACAAAAAAUUUAAAGGUUUUAAGUCAUACAAAGAAUGUAGUAGUCAGAAUUCUCUGAAGUAAUUUAGAGAAAAUUACUUACUAAGGAUCACUAAGGAUCCCACUCUGAAGUCUUGAUCCUUGAGACUCUGUGCCUGUGUGUAGAUUACCAUGGUGUUUGAUUUGGUGGGGGAGAAUCAGAGAAUCAGUGGAUAAAAGUGGUUACUGCUGAGACUUACACAUGUACACUAUAUGCAUCUCAAGACUACAUAUAUGCUUCCUUGGAUAGAUGUCCCUACUGCAUAUGCACUUUGAAGCAGGCCAAGUAAUGGGUUCAGAUUCUUAGUGUCUCUUUUAGAGACUGGAGUAUAUUUGGAAGGCAGCUGAGCCUCCAGUGCAGUUUUCUCCAAAAUAAGCUUAAUUCUUAUUACACCAAAACCACCCUGCAAACUGAAACAAGGUUCAACAAGGGACAAUGAUUGGGGAUUUAGAAGAACACUAUUGUCUCAAACCAAAAUGCUAAUAGAAGCUAGAACUUGAACUAUUCCUCAUCUGUUCUCAUCCCAUCACAUAACUUAGUAGCUGAAUACAAAUUGAAGGAACCCUCUUCUACCUUCCUCCCUUUUCCCCAGCACUACCUGCCCAAAAAAAACCAAACAAUCAAAAAUACCCCAAACCUUAAAAUGAAACAACUGGACAUUAAGGGGAUAUGAGUAUGUGGAAGAAAAGAGAGGAAUAAUUUUCAGUCAGUAUAAAUUGAAAAAUAUGACACUAUAAAUUGGUUUAUUAAACAUAAAAUCUCUGGAAAAAUGUACAUUUUUCAGAUUCCAGAUGUCUCUCCCCACAAGUUUUCUUACUAGAUGGUGAAAUCUUUCUUUCUUUCUUAAUAUGUCUUUAUGUUCAAUGGUAGCACGCCAUUCAGACAAAGGGAAAAAAAAGGGUACUUGUGUAGAGCUUGCUUGUUGGAACAAUAUGCUUACUGUGUUCUAUGGUCAGAUGAGCACUUAUUUGUUAUAAAUAGAAUGCAUUUGAAUUACUGUUACAUGUUUAUCUCAUUGUGUCACUUUAGGUUUUGAAAUACUAGUAAGAAUUGCCUAUGCAUUAUGCAGCAUUAUUUGAAUUAUUCAUGUGUGGCAAGUGGAGUUCUGCACUUUAAAAUGUUGCCUUGGCCUAAUAUUUAUAUUUAUGCUGUAUUUUUGUGUAAUCCUAAGGUUUUGUAGGGGAAAAAGAGUGUAUUUUUUCACUGUACUGAAAUUUUCAGUAAGUUGGCUUUCUUUUAGAAAAGGGAACUUUAAAAUUACCCUGUCUAAAAUUCUGAGCCUGAUUAUGCACUCAUGAACGGAAAAAAAAAUAACGGUUUUAUGAACUUGAAUGCUAACAUUUAAUGUAAAAAGAAGUGCAGAUAAAUAGAUUUUUUUUCAAAUAUAAAUUAUGAUAAUGCAAGUUAGUAAGAGGUAUUACUGUUGAAUAUCUUCAGUUAAAUUGAGCAAAAAAGAACAUAGUAAUUCUUGAUUAUUCAUUUAAAAAGAAUACUUAAGCCCAAGUUUUUUCAAAGAAUAUCCCGGUUUUAAAAGGAAAAGAUAUUAAUGUCAUUACUCAGAUAAGCUGUUUAAAAAUACUUCUUUAAGCAUUUCCAGGAACAAUCCAUAACAGAUGACAAGGUGGACACAUUUUAAAGUUCUGUAUUUUCAUUAAUAAACUAUGCUGCUUUAUUUGCAGCCUGGUAUGUGUUAGGAGUCAACUCACCUGUAAAAUGAUAGUGUAGAGUCACAGAAUAAGCUCCUGGCCUACAUGGCACCAUCCCCAAGGAGAGGUGAAAAAUUAAUUUCAGAAGACAUUUGAAAAUACUGGAGCAGAAUACAAAAUACUGCAAAGUAGAAAGGAGAUCGAUCUGAGGAACUCAUAGAAAGAAGAUGACAGGCCAGUGAAAUUUUAGGUGUGAAAUGCUCUGAAAAAAAUAUACAUUCCAAGGUAAUGUUCCAUUAGAUCAUGGAUGUCAUUCCUUCUAAAAGUCAUGGAGGUCCAAAACCUGACUAAGUUCCCAAAGCCGUUGCUUACAUGCUUAAUAGUAGAAGGCCAAAUACCUGCUUAUGGAAUAAUUAUGUAACUCUUCACAACUUCUAGAGCUCGGCUCCAAGUUUAAAUCAAAAUUACCUGUAAUGGUUCCAGAGGAAACAAUGUAAGGGCAUAUUAUGUUUUAUCUACACCUGCCCUGUGAAACAUUUAGCACUGGCCAGAACAGAGGCUGAAUUAGUCUGGUCCCAGUGAAGAAUUUCUAUUCAUGCAUGCUCCAGACAUCAUUCCCUUUCAUGUGCAUGGUGAUGCAGUAAUAACUGAGUUCAGACAGUCUGGUGUGACUGAAGUGACUGAAUACAAACUGUUUUAAAUAUCACAUUGUUUAGAAAUUAAGCUCAUUGCUGAGACCAAUAAAUACAUAUUAAAUCACACAAUCAUAUAUCUAGUACUGAACUUCUAGAUGCUAGGACUUUGGCUUAAAUCUGUGGGGGUUUUAAGCACUGUAUGUGCAACAACUGACGUUUUUCUCAACAGAGAAACCAGCAAAUGACAUCUUCUAGGUAUGAAAAAGAGUAACAAAAGCAACAAACACCAUUCUUGGGAAGCCAAAAGGACAUUCUUGGGAAGCCAAAAGCACCAUUAACAACUAUCUGUUGUUUGAAGUUAAUAGAAUUGUUAGUUUAUGUGGAAAGCCUGAGCAAUGUUUUUGGGAGGCAGUUUCCUGGAAACUUCAGUGGAAAUUCUUUCUUAGAAAAUACCCAGAAUCAGUGUGCUCCAACCAAAAGAUCCUUUGCGGCUUCUGCAGAGGCAGUCACUUCUGCAGACGUGAAUGCAUUAGUCAUGCCUAGACCCUCACUUCUUUGCUCUGUCAUGACUCGUAAGCAUGUAUUAGCUUUAAUUCUGGUAUUGGUUUGUGGUUUCUCAUAGACUGAGUCUUAGUUUGAAAAUAACUAUGGUAAAGAGUGGAGCUGGGAGAAGGAUAAGGAUAAAGGGCAAUCUUACACCAGUCUGCCUAAUGCUUCAACACAAAAUAUUUGCCCCACCAGGUAGAUGUUGUAACGUUUCAGCAGCUCUUAGACUCAAUGAUUUGGCUUAAUGACUUGAGUCAACUAAUAACAAUUGAACUCAGUCAAGGCUAGGAUAUAAUGUGUGAGCAGCUCACAAACACAUAAGGAUGUUUUACUGUGAUCUGCAUUUAAGCCAUCAGCAGCUUUCCUUGGCCAAGGGCUCCUAGGCAUAUUUAGGUACAACACACUGGAGAUAAGCCUGCAGGAGAAGGGGCAAGUUUUGGUGACAACUGAAGGCUGUAAACUGCAUCCUGUCUGGCCUUGUGGCUUUGGAGCUGGGUUGUGUACUCCUCUAACAACUUUUAGUGAUUAAGCUUUUAGAAAGCAUUAGCAUGCGAUCCUUAUCUGAGGAUGUUUACAUCCCUUGCUUCAAGACAAAUUUUCUUUCCCCAAAGGAGAGUUCACAUCUUGCUGGAGUAAGUUUUUCUGAUGCUGAUUUGUCUGCUUGUCACCUGUUGUGCAUAAGCUCUGGUUCAUGUGAAAAUGCCUAACUGGAGUUAAUGUUGAAUUUAUCCUUCCUUUUGUACUUGUGCAGUUUCAAGGAAGAACUCUGUAUUAGGAGAAAUGGUAUAUGUGAUUUUCACUGUUCUGCUUGGUUUUGAUCAUGCUAAAUAGGAAGUAAUGUACUGUUGAAACAAAAUAAAGAGGCCUUGUAUUUACACCAA